CCUGCCCACUGUUGUAUAAAGGGCUGCAGUAUCUUGACUGUGCAAAGGUAGCAUAGUAGAUUGCCUUUUAAAAGGGGGCUGGUAUGAAAGGUUAAACAAGGUUAAAGCUGUUCCUUUGCUUCUCUCAAACUUAAGGUUACUGUAAAAACUCAGUAGUUUACCUGAGGGACGAUAAGACCCUAUAAAUUUUAGUAAUUUUUGUGCUAUUUAAGAAACUAAGGCGCUAUUUUACUUAGUUGGGGCAACAUUAAUGAGGAAAUCAUUAAUUUAGUAACAGCGUUGCUGAGGGUAAGAUCCGGGUUACCGCACAAGACAAAAAUACUUUAGGGAUAACAGCGUUAUUGUCUCGGAGAGUUCAAAUCUAUGGGACAGAUUACGACCUCGAUGUUGAAUUAAGAUAACUUUUAGGUGUAGCAGCUUAAAGACGUUAGCCUGUUCGGCUAUAUUAUUCUUACGUGAUCUGAGUU
rnacentral:rRNA from 1 species